rnacentral:rRNA from 1 species
GACGAACGCUGGCGGCGUGCUUAACACAUGCAAGUCGAACGAUGAAGCCUAGCUUGCUAGGUGGAUUAGUGGCGAACGGGUGAGUAAUACGUGAGUAACCUACCUUUAACUCUGGGAUAAGCCUGGGAAACUGGGUCUAAUACCGGGUACGACCAAUCUCCGCAUGGGGUGUUGGUGGAAAGCGUUAUGUAGUGGUUAUAGAUGGGCUCACGGCCUAUCAGCUUGUUGGUGAGGUAACGGCUCACCAAGGCGACGACGGGUAGCCGGCCUGAGAGGGUGACCGGCCACACUGGGACUGAGACACGGCCCAGACUCCUACGGGAGGCAGCAGUGGGGAAUAUUGCACAAUGGGCGCAAGCCUGAUGCAGCGACGCCGCGUGAGGGAUGACGGCCUUCGGGUUGUAAACCUCUGUUAGCAGGGAAGAAGAGAAAUUGACGGUACCUGCAGAGAAAGCGCCGGCUAACUACGUGCCAGCAGCCGCGGUAAUACGUAGGGCGCGAGCGUUGUCCGGAAUUAUUGGGCGUAAAGAGCUUGUAGGCGGUUUGUCGCGUCUGCUGUGAAAGGCCGGGGCUUAACCCCGUGUAUUGCAGUGGGUACGGGCAGACUAGAGUGCAGUAGGGGAGACUGGAACUCCUGGUGUAGCGGUGGAAUGCGCAGAUAUCAGGAAGAACACCGAUGGCGAAGGCAGGUCUCUGGGCUGUAACUGACGCUGAGAAGCGAAAGCAUGGGGAGCGAACAGG